GGGGUAUCAUGUCAAGAAACGAAAGCUUCUAACUUUUUUUCAAGCGGUUGAAUUCCGUUUAUACUCCU
rnacentral:tRNA from 1 species